UACGUAGGGUGCAAGCGUUGCCCGGAUUUAUUGGGCGUAAAGAGCUCGUAGGCGGUUUGUCGCGUCGGCCGUGAAAUCUCCACGCUUAACGUGGAGCGUGCGGUCGAUACGGGCAGACUUGAGUUCGGUAGGGGAGACUGGAAUUCCUGGUGUAGCGGUGAAAUGCGCAGAUAUCAGGAGGAACACCGGUGGCGAAGGCGGGUCUCUGGGCCGAUACUGACGCUGAGGAGCGAAAGCGUGGGGAGCGAACAGG
rnacentral:rRNA from 1 species